rnacentral:rRNA from 1 species
AGCCUGAUCAGCAAUGCCGCGUGAGUGAAGAAGGCCUUCGGGUUGUAAAGCUCUUUUGUCAGGGAAGAAACGGUGGGAGCUAAUAUCUCUUGCUAAUGACGGUACCUGAAGAAUAAGCACCGGCUAACUACGUGCCAGCAGCCGCGGUAAUACGUAGGGUGCAAGCGUUAAUCGGAAUUACUGGGCGUAAAGCGUGCGCAGGCGGUUUUGUAAGUCUGAUGUGAAAUCCCCGGGCUCAACCUGGGAAUUGCAUUGGAGACUGCAAGGCUAGAAUCUGGCAGAGGGGGGUAGAAUUCCACGUGUAGCAGUGAAAUGCGUAGAUAUGUGGAGGAACACCGAUGGCGAAGGCAGCCCCCUGGGUCAAGAUUGACGCUCAUGCACGAAAGCGUGGGGAGCAAACAGGAUUAGAUACCCUGGUAGUCCACGCCCUAAACGAUGUCUACUAGUUGUCGGGUCUUAAUUGACUUGGUAACGCAGCUAACGCGUGAAGUAGACCGCCUGGGGAGUACGGUCGCAAGAUUAAAACUCAAAGGAAUUGACGG